UACGAAGGGGGCUAGCGUUGUUCGGAAUUAUUGGGCGUAAAGGGCGCGUAGGCGGCGCAACAAGUCACUUGUGAAAUCUCCGGGCUUAACCCGGAGCGGCCAAGUGAUACUGUCGUGCUAGAGUGCGGAAGGGGCUACUGGAAUUCUCGGUGUAGCGGUGAAAUGCGUAGAUAUCGAGAGGAACACCGGCGGCGAAGGCGGGUAGCUGGGCCGACACUGACGCUGAGGCGCGAAAGCCAGGGGAGCGAACGGG
rnacentral:rRNA from 1 species